AACGAACGCUGGCGGCAGGCCUAACACAUGCAAGUCGAACGCCCGUAGCAAUACGGGAGUGGCAGACGGGUGAGUAACGCGUGGGAACGUGCCCUUCGGUUCGGAAUAACUCAGGGAAACUUGAGCUAAUACCGGAUACGUCCGUAAGGAGAAAGAUUUAUCGCCGAAGGAUCGGCCCGCGUCGGAUUAGCUAGUUGGUGAGGUAACGGCCCACCAAGGCGACGAUCCGUAGCUGGUCUGAGAGGAUGAUCAGCCACACUGGGACUGAGACACGGCCCAGACUCCUACGGGAGGCAGCAGUGGGGAAUAUUGGACAAUGGGCGAAAGCCUGAUCCAGCCAUGCCGCGUGAGUGAUGAA
rnacentral:rRNA from 1 species